CUCAGGUCAAGGACAUGAAGAUGAAGUUCCUAGAGGAGAUUCCUCUCUUCUUCCUGCCCAUCAAGGAAUCUGAGAUCACUGACUUUUUCCUGGGGAUAGCCCUUAUGCCUAUGCGAAAGCAGAUCUGUCCAGCAGAUGAGCUUCAAGCCAUCUGUUACCAUCAGGGACUAUGACAGUCAUGUCAGUCUAGGUGUUAAGUGCUCCAAGGAGGUAGCCACUGCCACCGUGAGACCAUUAUCCUGGCCAACCUCUCUAAUGUCCCAUGAGGAGGAACUCCAGAGGGGGUCACAACAUUAGCAGCCCCACACUGUUCCUUGAAAAGUCACAGGAUGCUGAGGUUCUGUGCAAGGGGACUUCAUCCCACACCCCGACCUACUUGAUACUGUCUCAGCCCCUGUGCCCAUGAAGCUGGGGCGGAUGGGAUACAACUGCUACCACUUAGCCAGGGGCUGCAGUGCCAUCUUGGGCAACUUUGCAAAGGCCAUCUUCAGUGCCACCUCUAAGACCUGCAGCUAUCUCACCUAAUAGAAAUUCACUGACCAUCUUAUAAAAAACUACACUAGGGUCUCCAUGCAGAGGACCUGGGCUCUAACCACGACCACC
rnacentral:lncRNA from 10 species